rnacentral:rRNA from 1 species
UUUUCCACCGGAGCUUGCUCCACCGGAAAAAGAGGAGUGGCGAACGGGUGAGUAACACGUGGGUAACCUGCCCAUCAGAAGGGGAUAACACUUGGAAACAGGUGCUAAUACCGUAUAACAAUCGAAACCGCAUGGUUUUGAUUUGAAAGGCGCUUUCGGGUGUCGCUGAUGGAUGGACCCGCGGUGCAUUAGCUAGUUGGUGAGGUAACGGCUCACCAAGGCCACGAUGCAUAGCCGACCUGAGAGGGUGAUCGGCCACAUUGGGACUGAGACACGGCCCAAACUCCUACGGGAGGCAGCAGUAGGGAAUCUUCGGCAAUGGACGAAAGUCUGACCGAGCAACGCCGCGUGAGUGAAGAAGGUUUUCGGAUCGUAAAACUCUGUUGUUAGAGAAGAACAAGGAUGAGAGUAACUGUUCAUCCCUUGACGGUAUCUAACCAGAAAGCCACGGCUAACUACGUGCCAGCAGCCGCGGUAAUACGUAGGUGGCAAGCGUUGUCCGGAUUUAUUGGGCGUAAAGCGAGCGCAGGCGGUUUCUUAAGUCUGAUGUGAAAGCCCCCGGCUCAACCGGGGAGGGUCAUUGGAAACUGGGAGACUUGAGUGCAGAAGAGGAGAGUGGAAUUCCAUGUGUAGCGGUGAAAUGCGUAGAUAUAUGGAGGAACACCAGUGGCGAAGGCGGCUCUCUGGUCUGUAACUGACGCUGAGGCUCGAAAGCGUGGGGAGCAAACAGGAUUAGAUACCCUGGUAGUCCACGCCGUAAACGAUGAGUGCUAAGUGUUGGAGGGUUUCCGCCCUUCAGUGCUGCAGCUAACGCAUUAAGCACUCCGCCUGGGGAGUACGACCGCAAGGUUGAAACUCAAAGGAAUUGACGGGGGCCCGCACAAGCGGUGGAGCAUGUGGUUUAAUUCGAAGCAACGCGAAGAACCUUACCAGGUCUUGACAUCCUUUGACCACUCUAGAGAUAGAGCUUCCCCUUCGGGGGCAAAGUGACAGG